CAUUUGCCAUGAUCGCCAAGGGCUUAAAGGCCGGGUUAAACCCCCCAAAUCUCCUCCUUUCCACCGCCGGACAGGGUUGUCCGUGAGGGAGCUACCAUCCUACGCUCCGCCCUUGACAAGAGAAAAUAAAAGUACCGGCUUCCGGUCGGACACCGGGGACGGCUUGGGUCGAGGUCCCUGAAUCACCGUUUAAACCAGGCGAACGGGCUCUUUUUUUUGAAGGCUCGAACUUGGGGAAGGGGCCGGCUCGGCCGGGCCUUCUCAUUGAUCAGGAUCCCGUUCGGCGCCGUUUCCAUCCAACGCGCGCUCAUCCACCAGCGGAGAACUUGGCACGCCCUUCUUCCCCGGACGCGCGGAGCAGACGCCACGAGGACUUUCCUUCCGUUGACGCCUCUGGAGAGCGGCGCUUUGCUCCUUUGGAAGCAGUUUCCCACCCUUCCGAAUCAGGCGAAACAUCAGGCGAGGUUGACCGCUUAGCAUUAUUCGUCUUUCACCGCGACUUGGCCGAGCGAUCGCCGGCGGUUCGGUGGAUGGUUUCUUCCUUGAGCACCUUGGUUUGGUCCUUGCCUGUGCUCGCCUUGAAUUCUUGGCGUUUUGGUUGGUUGGGUCUGCGGCGUUGCAUGCGAGCCAGUUGAUGGCCUGGCUGAGGCGGCGGACUGGUGCGCCCGUCAUUUGUUCGAUGUAAUGUCAACGAGAGGAUUCUUGCUUCUUCCUCAAGAAAAAUUCCCUUUUUUAUCACCAAAUUCCUCUUUUUCUGUUCUUAGGACCAUGAGUUCAAUAUGAACUCAUCGAAACUGCUUCGAGUCACCGCCCAUGAAGCUGAAAAUCCUACCGAGGUGUCCCUCAGAGAGGCCUUCUUCCUCCUCCAGCCCCAACUGAAACCCCCCUUCCCUCUAUCAAUCCCCUCGCCCUCAGAAUACUCACAGCUGAAUCUUGCCAUCGCUUUCGGCAUCCUCACUGAGCCCCACCUCGCCAAAACCCACCUCACCCACCUCCAUGCCAUCGUCAUCGAUGGAUAUAACUUCUUCACCACCACCCUCCUCAAGCUCUGUAACGAGUCGUACCCCAAGCUCUUGGAAACCCCAAGAAUUCAGAUCCUCUGGCUCACUUCCAAUCUAGUCCAGGUCGCCGCCGUCCAUGUCGACUCGCUAAUUAUAUCCCUCUUGAGGCAGACUAUUGGCGGCCAUUUCUCCGAAUCCAAUUUGUGGCUGUGUGCUGAACUUGUCAAGAUCCUGUCUGAUAAUUGGGAUUGGAUAUUGGAUGAACCAUUGGUUCUUACAAGUGCAUUGUUCGUCUAUCUUCGGUUAUUGGCAGAUCACUACAGGUUGGGAGGCAGCGUGAAAUUGGAUUCAUUGAAGAGGAUGGAGAUCGAUUUCUGCAUCAAGGCGUUGAGAGAAUGCUUCAGUUUGUGUUUACAGAUAGGGAGGGACCUCGUUCGACUGCUUCAGGACUUGGUUCAUAUUCCUGAAUUCAGAGAUGUGUGGAAGGACCUCUUGUUUGAUCCUAGAAAGUUUCAAGUUUUGGGAUUUACCGAUAUUUCAGGGCUCUACCGAAUGAGAACGCCGGCACACUACUUUUUGCUGAGGAUCACGCCUGACAUGGAAGCACAUCUGCGAUUCUUGCUCACCUAUGUGAAUUGGGGGAGCCAGAAAAGAUACCAAGCUUGGUUUGCCAAGAAACACCUAUGCUGGCCUGGUAGCGAGACUGUUAUCGCUGAUAUUAUUCGGUUUAUAUGUUGUUCCCACCAUCCUCCUAAUGAGAUCAUCCAAUCUAACAUUAUCUCAAGAUGGGCAGUUGUUGGCUGGCUUCUGAAAAGCUGCAGGAGAAAUUACUUCGAGGCUAAUGCGAAGCUCGCUCUGUUUUAUGAUUGGCUGUUUUUUGAUGAGAAGGUGGAUAGUAUCAUGAACAUUGAGCCCGCAAUGCUUUUGAUGGUUAACUCUGUGCCCAAAUAUGUUGAUUUAACUCACACGCUCUUGGAGUUCUUGUUUCUGUUGGUCGACAAUUAUGAUGUUUCCAGGAAGGAAGCGAUCGUUCAUGGUGUUUCAGCGGCGCUUAAUUUACUGGUCAGAAAAGGAGUAGUUCGUUCACUGGAACCUCUGACUUCUUGUAAUUUGCUCUCGCUGUUGCUCAGAGAGAGGCUCAUUACCUUCCUCCCCAGAUCAGAUCCAGGAGUUGUUAAAGCAUCAUCUGAUACGUGUAGCCAGAGAAUGGUCACAGAUGGAGAGGUAGCUCCUGUCUUAGAAGAGAAAGGGUGAUGCAGUGCAGAAUCUAGUGAUUUGAACAACUUGAAAGAAGGUGUGCUCAGGGCAGAAAAGUAAAAUGGGACAUGUUCUAAUGUGAGGUACCACAAAUUCAACAGUGUUAAUCUACGUUGGAUGGAAAUGUGAAAGGAUCAAAGGUUUCAUUCACUAUUAACCUUAACUUUAUCAUCUUGUGGCAUUUAUGGUGCUCAAGAAAUAAGAUGAGGUGACCUUGUCUGACUUCCAUCGUUUUAGAGAAGCUGUUGGUUGUUUUGUUUCAAAGUUAAAACGAACUUGAGGUUUUGAAUUGAAUGGACAUGCAGUUUAGUGAUGUAGGAUUAUGAUUUAGACUUUUCGAUACCUUUAUUAGGUUGUAUACAUUUAGCAGAUUAUAGA